CUCAUUUUACGUUCGCGCCAGGAUUAAGAAAGGGUUUUCACAGCUGACCCAGGAUUAAGAAAGUUUUACGUGUAGACCCAGGAUUUAGAAAGAUUCAACAAGUGGGCUCCAGGAUUAAAGCUGACAGGCGGCGACUGGUCGAGCGCACCGCGCAACUGGCGACGGUGCAGCUGAGCUCCCGGGUGCUCCCUAUUGCUGGUCGGCACGUAAAAAAGUUUUCUCGGGGGGUUGGGAUUAGAGAGGUGUCGGCAUCAGGAAAGGAGAGGAGAAGGGGUGGAGAGAGACGAGACCGCUUUGUCCCCUCUAGCUGCCGCCGCCAGGCCACUCUUCUCCGUCCGCCGGUAGCAUCCGCGAACAGGCCGCCGCCGCGGCGAUCCUACCGCGGGCACGUAGCCGCUGGACCUCUAGGAGGAGGUGCUAUGCCUCGUGUUCUCCUCCAAAAAUGGCAUCUUUAGUUGAUACCACCUAAAAAGACGCCUAAACCGGCUAGCUUCUGCAUACAGCUACCAUUUCAACGAGACAAGCUACCAACGCUUCAUCUAUGUACCAGAGGAGAGACCGAGUGACUAAAAUACGUCGUUGACCCUAUAUCACUGGUUAGAUUCGUACAAUAAAUGACCAAUGACGGACCUUUCUUAAAUCGGCUGCCUGACGCCUAACACCUGACACUGUGACUGUGAAACGUGUACUGUCGUCAACAAGGUUUUAAGGUCAACAAAGUCAACAAACAACUAGUGUUUCUAUACCGGAAACUGUUACAUUACCUACUAUAAGUACAAUCACCAUGUGGACUCGAUGGAGAACAUGAUUCGGGAUUUAGAGUACCCAAAUCGUCACCUUAUUCUCCUUCAGGGUCCAAAUUCCACUUUCGAGUGUUUCCGUCUAACUUGGUUACAGUACGUCCGUCGUCGUUACUUCCCUCAUCGUCACAAGGUGGUCACCCUGAUUUACAACCUGUACUCGAAUCUUCUUCGUCCUCCUUUGAACACCAUGUUCUUCUUUAGGGGUUACUUUUACUGUUACUGUCACUAUCACUACUGUCACUUACCCUAAGUCUGACCCAUCUGAGACUGUUACUUCAUCCGUUUCUACUACUACUAGAUAUACUUCUUACCCAACUACUUUUUAAACUC
rnacentral:rRNA from 1 species